GGGGAAUAUUGCACAAUGGGCGCAAGCCUGAUGCAGCAACGCCGCGUGAGGGACGACGGCCUUCGGGUUGUAAACCUCUUUUGGCAGGGAAGAAGCGAAAGUGGCGGUACCUGCAGAAAAAGCGCCGGCUAACUACGUGCCAGCAGCCGCGGUGAUACGUAGGGUGCAAGCGUUGUCCGGAAUUAUUGGGCGUAAAGAGCUCGUAGGCGGUUUGUCGCGUCUGCUGUGAAAACCCGAGGCUCAACCUCGGGCCUGCAGUGGGUACGGGCAUACUAGAGUGCGGUAGGGGAGAUUGGAAUUCCUGGUGUAGCGGUGGAAUGCGCAGAUAUCAGGAGGAACACCGAUGGCGAAGGCAGAUCUCUGGGCCGUAACUGACGCUGAGGAGCGAAAGCAUGGGGAGCGAACA
rnacentral:rRNA from 1 species